GUGAGUCAUCGAAUCUUUGAACGCACUUUGCACCUUUUGGUUAUUCCGAAAGGUACGCCUGUUUGAAUGUCACAAAACUCCCCUCGGCUUUAACACUUUCUAAAAGGGUUAUUGACGGAUUCUGAGUGUUGGCGUGUCAACGCCUCGCUUUAAAUAUAUCAGCACUUUUGGAUGGUUCCAUGUUAGUUCAAAAGACGUACUUGAUGUCGUAUUUAUACAAUUCAUCGAGAUGGUCUUUGGUCGUAUCGACUAUCCGCUAAUAUGAUGACUUGAAGAAUAGCUUCCUAACCCCAUUAAAUUUACCUUUAGACUUCAAAUCAGGUGGGACUACCCGCUGAACUUAA
rnacentral:rRNA from 1 species